rnacentral:rRNA from 1 species
CCUACGGGAGGCAGCAGUGAGGAAUAUUGGACAAUGGGUGAGAGCCUGAUCCAGCCAUCCCGCGUGAAGGACGACGGCCCUAUGGGUUGUAAACUUCUUUUGUAUAGGGAUAAACCUACCCUCGUGAGGGUAGCUGAAGGUACUAUACGAAUAAGCACCGGCUAACUCCGUGCCAGCAGCCGCGGUAAUA